CCUGGAGGCCCUGUCUGAAAGCCAGAGUAUUUCUGUAGUCACUUUAGAGGAGGUUCUCAUCUCUAAAACCCACAGGACAGAAGGUUAUUAAACCUGGGAUCUGAUUAUAAGGGUGGCAGAAAUGCAAAAGAAGCAAAAUGCACAGCCUUAACACCGCCCCAGUGUCAAAGUAAAGACCUGACAGGAGAGUGGACCACCAAGACCUUGGAUGGUGAUGUUUGCGUGGCCAAGGCUGAGAAUAUUGUAGCCCCCAAUUCCCUGAAGCUUCCUGGCUGGCCGAAGCUGUUCCCAACAACCUGGGGAGAGAACAGCCUCGUCUUCCCAGUGCAUUACACUAUGACCUCACCUGGAGGUGCUCCACACAAUGAUCAUUGUUUUUCUCCAGAUCUGUCCCCACUAUCUCUCAUUAUGUCCUGGCUAACAACCAGAGUCAGGCCUGAGCACAGCUUCAAUGAGGAAGUACAAUCCCUGCUGCAGGAGAAAACAGUCUAUGUGUCAAAGGCUUACAGGAGCUGGCAGGCACGAAUUAGCAAACACCUUGUAGUAGCGUAUCUUGAGGGUGUUAGAUCAUCAUGAUUACCUGGAGCUGGUCCUAAUAGUCUUUUGAGACAGCUCCAUGACAUUUAGAUAGGAUGACGGCUGCAAUUGAUAAGGUGGAGAUGCUGGAGCAUAUUUGGCAUUAUGUCGAGAAAGGGGUUAAGGCUCAAGGAGUUGGGAAUGUUAGAAUGAAUUUACUAUGUAAAUCCUGAGAACCUGCCACAUCACCGUGUUUCCUGAAAAAGACUGGGAGACACUUUUGCUAUGAAUGCAGCAGGAGUACACAAGUGAAGGGCUCACUAAUAUCUUUGAGAAUCUUAGUGUCUGUCUUCUGUAGGCAGGGGUUAUGGGUGUAGACACUUCCAUCGAACUGAACUUCUUCUUCUUCUUUUUUUUUUUUUUUUAAUAGGAGUCUCACUCUGUUGCCCAGGCUGGAGUGCAUUGGUGCAAUCUGGGCUCACUGUAACAUCCAUCUCCUGGGUUCAAGCAAUUCUCCUGCCUUGGCUGAGAUUAUAGGCACCCACCACCAUGCCCGGCUAAUUUUUGUAUUUUUAGUAGAGAUGGGGUUUCACCAUGUUGGCCAGGCUGGUCUUGAACUCCUGACCUCAAGCAAUCCUCCUGCCUCGGCCUCCCAAAGUGCUGAGAUUACAGGAGUGAGCCACUGCACCCGGCUGCAACUGAACUUCUUUAUAUCAAUGGGGAUAGUGAGAUUCCAGAAUUAUAAAACUAGAAGGCAACUCGUAACCACCAGAGGCAAGGUGGCCAUAAUGAUUAUAAUUGGAAACACUGAAGAAUAGUACUUAGGGUGCCUCAACCUUCAGAGAUUUGUAGCAAUGGUUAAGAGAUCCUGGUGUUCCUAGGCAUGAGACAGAAGGACAGCUAACUAGGAUGUUAUUAAGAUUGUAUAAUAAUAAUAAAAAGAAAGCUGGAGAAUAGAAGGUUGACAUCAGUCCUUGCAAUAAAAAAUUGUGGACUCUCACUCAGUUUUCAAAUGUAAGCCAGUUUGAAAACCGGCUUGAAGUAAAGUUUUCAAACUGGCUUAUUAGGUUGAUGCAAAAGUAAUUGUGGUUUUGGCCAUGACUUUUAAUGGCAAAAUUGCAAUUAUUUUUGCACCAACCAAAUACAUUUGAAAACUGAGUGAGAGUCUACAAUUUUUUAUUGCAAUGACUGAUGUGUGGAUUGAGGGGAAGACUUAGGCUUCCUUGAAGAAGGACCCUUCUAUUUUCCACAGUAUACCUGAAAAUGUGUUCUUCUAAUCUUCCCCUUUAAGGAAUUUGCACCCAUUUCCCCAAGUAACUAGUGCCAGAGAAUAGGGACAAUUCAGACUUUUUGAGGAUUAGUAAUAUACAAGGUUUGAGCUGAUACUGAUAAGGAGUUAAGAAGAAAUUACUUAGGCAGGUAGUGAGGGUACGGAAAUCCUCGGUAAGGUUUUUCCUUUAAUGAAAAGCAGCCCCAAAUCAUUUUCUAACAAAGAGCAGCCUGUAAAAUCAAGCUGCCAACAUAGAUGCUGGCAGCUGUGCCAAUCAUGUUCAAGAUAGCAACUCCAUCUUCCCUUUUCUUUGAUAGCCACGUGUACAGUAAGGAACAGACAACAUGACCCAGCCAAGGGGAAAUUUCAUUUGCUAAGUAAGAUUAGGGUGGGUGGCCAGCCUUCCCCAGUGGUAUGUAAACAUCAUACCUGAUUGAACCAAUCUGUGAGCCCUACGUAAAUCAGACACCACCUUGAACCAAUCUGUGAGUCCUAUGUAAAUCAGGCACCACCUUGAACCAAUCUGUGGGCCCUAUGUAAAUCAGACACCGCCUCCUCAAGCCUGACUAUAAAAUCUGGCGCAUCUGCCGCCAGCGGGCCUUUUCCUCUCGGAAGUUCCCUCCCUCUCACUAGAGAAAGAGAGCUGUUUUCCUUUCUUUUUCUUUUGCCUAUUAAACUUCUGCUCCUAAAUGCC
rnacentral:lncRNA from 1 species